AAAGCUUGCUUUUGAUGGGCAUCGACCGGCGCACGGGUGAGUAACGCGUAUCCAACCUGCCCACCACUUGGGGAUAACCUUGCGAAAGUAAGACUAAUACCCAAUGAUAUCUCUAGAAGACAUCUGAAGGAGAUUAAAGAUUUAUCGGUGAUGGAUGGGGAUGCGUCUGAUUAGCUUGUUGGCGGGGUAACGGCCCACCAAGGCUACGAUCAGUAGGGGUUCUGAGAGGAAGGUCCCCCACAUUGGAACUGAGACACGGUCCAAACUCCUACGGGAGGCAGCAGUGAGGAAUAUUGGUCAAUGGACGAGAGUCUGAACCAGC
rnacentral:rRNA from 1 species